rnacentral:rRNA from 1 species
AGUGAACGCUGGCGGUAGGCCUAACACAUGCAAGUCGAACGGCAGCACAGUAAGAGCUUGCUCUUACGGGUGGCGAGUGGCGGGCGGGUGAGGAAUACAUCGGAAUCUACUUUUUCGUGGGGGAUAACGUGGGGCAACUUACGCUACUACCGCAUACGACCUACGGGUGAAAGCAGGGGAUCUUCAGACCUUUCGCGAUUGAAUGAGCCGAUGUCGCAUUAGCUAGUUGGCGGGGUAAAGGCUCACCAAGGCGACGAUCCGUAGCUGGCCUGAGAGGAUGAUCAGCCACACUGGAACUGAGACACGGUCCAGACUCCUACGGGAGGCAGCAGUGGGGAAUAUUGGACAAUGGGCGCAAGCCUGACCCAGCCAUACCGCGUGGGUGAAGAAGGCCUUCGGGUUGUAAAGCCCUGUUGUUGGGAAAGAAAAGCAGCAGGUGAAUACCCCGCUGUUCUGACGGUACCCAAAGAAUAAGCACCGGCUAACUUCGUG